GUGUCAGCCGCCGCGGUAAUACAGAGGUGGCAAGCGUUGUUCGGAAUUACUGGGCGUAAAGGGCGCGUAGGCGGUCUUGCAAGUCCCGUGUGAAAUCCCUCGGCUCAACUGAGGAAUGGCACGGGAAACUGCUUGGCUUGAGUUCGGGAGAGGGAAGCGGAAUUCCGGGUGUAGCGGUGAAAUGCGUAGAUAUCCGGAGGAACACCGGUGGCGAAGGCGGCUUCCUGGACCGACACUGACGCUGAGGCGCGAAAGCUAGGGGAGCAAACGGGAUUAGAAACCCUCGUAGUCC
rnacentral:rRNA from 1 species